ACGUGUUAGCCAUGGUUAGAGAAUGCUCUGUGUCACUCUACUAGCAACACAUAGCCUUAAGUAAGCCAUCUAUAUUUAUUUAACAAUUAAAGCCAAUCAAAUCUGAGCAUUUAGGAAGGUAGAAAGCAAACAACUAGCAUUUAACAUCAAUCAAAUCCGACUAAGUACUAUACUAGCAAGAGAGAGCCUUCGGGAACGUAUUUCUAAACGUUCUAUAACAUUUAAAACCAAUCAAAUCUGAGGAAUUAGGAAGGUAGAAAGCAAUUCACUAGCAUUUAACACCAAUUCAUUAAAUGAGUUUUAGCUUUUAUUCAAACAAAAUAGACUACUAUAUGAUUUUCUUAUUCAAAGAAAAGAGACUAUGAAGUUGUAAAAAUUAUCGUACCUUAUUAUUACAGACACUCGUGAGGUAAGACACUCUCGUUUGAAGCCUUUGAAGCUCUUCCUGAAAACACAUGAGAUAAAACAGUCAAAAGUUAUAAGAAUAUUGCAGAAUCAACAAUGAAAAGCACAAGGAGAUAAACUAACCAUGCAGAAACAAGA
rnacentral:lncRNA from 1 species